rnacentral:lncRNA from 1 species
AGACACAAAUGAGAGAUGAAGAAGUGGAAGCAGCAAGGACAGACAUACAAGUUCAAGAAAUUUGUAAGCAGGAAGAAAAAAGAACCGUGGAUUAAGUGAGGGGAGGAGGCUUUUAUUUUCUUGUUUUGUCUUGUGGUUUUUAGGGAGUGGAUGCAAACACAGAUGGGAAGGUAAGCUUCAACAGGACACUGCCAGGAAGAAGCAUGAAGAAAGAGAUAAACCCAGAGGCGGAAUGAACCCUUUGGCAGUGGAGAUAUCUGACCAUGGAGAUGAGCCUAACAUGAAGACAGCCAGCAAAGAAGAAAUGUGGUUUGCAGCGUUCCAGCCCCAGCAUCACAGAGCAGAGUGUAAAAAGGUAUUCCUGAUGAC